rnacentral:lncRNA from 1 species
CUCACACACUGUUUCCUGUUUCUCUCCGCGAAGGAGCACUCCUCGUAAGGGUUUCUCGUUCACGCGCGUGUUCCCUUUCUCUCCUAGUCGUGCUUGAAUCACAGUCGUGUUCACGUGGCACUCGCACAAAAGUCGACAAAAGUCCCGCGCGCAGGAUCGGCAGAGAUAAUCUGCACGCUGGGUUUUCGAGCUCGCGAGUCGACUCGAGGCUCCUCCUCGUCGGCGAUUCUGCGGACUGGCUCGUCGAGUCGUGGCGCGUAUUCAUUAAUAUGAUAAUCAUCCAAUACGUAUACGAUGCCUCUCGAUGAUCGCCCUCGUCUCCGUCAUCUUCGUCGUCUUCUUCUUCAUCGUCGUCGUCGUGGCCGACGACGGCGGCACCGGCGCCGCUGUGCAAAACACCAUCAUAAAUCUGAAGUACGAUUUCGAUCGCGAUCGAUAAGACGAAACGGGGAAAAAGGAUAACGAGAAAAUGCGUACAAGUACGAUGCGCCGCGCAAGUCGAUCGAAUCACUCGCGAAUGAAACUCGUCUCGAUCUCCGGAAAAAUUAGUUUUCGCGAGUUCACAACUUUGCGCGCGAUCCCAAAAAAUCCCAACUUCUUCCUUCCCCCUUUACGUUCCACCGGCACCGACUCGUCGUGCCCACUGAGAUGCACUUUUCUCUACCUCGAUACCGUCACUCUCCGUGUCUCGGCACGUUUUCACGUAUCUCUGGUCAUUUCGUUAUCGCGCCUCCGCCUUCGUCGUCGUUCACCUCAUCCUCCGUCCUUCCUCGCCCUCUCCUUCUCCUCCUCCACCCCCGCCUCCUCCUCCUCCCUCCUCCUCCUCCUCCUCCGUUUCUUCCUCUUCCACCUCCAGCUUCUUCUCCACCUUCCACCAACGGAGACGACUCGUCGUGCUGUUUAUGCUGUCCUCUUCCCUCUUCCUCUUCCUUCCUACGUUUCUUCCUCUGAUCCCGCACGAUCAAACGACCACUACCGCGACCAAUAACCACUUGGUCCCGCUGCGAUGCCGCGAGCGGAGGUGCCGUUCCGCGCGUCGCGACUAAUUUUCGGACGAACUUUCCGGUUCGGUGUCUUGUAUUGGACUGUGCAGAAGUGGCACCUUCCAGUUUCUGAACUUACAUCUUGUCAGAAUCAGACGACCUGCCGUUAAAAUUUCCGAGAAUACUCGGCGUCCCUUUAAGACGGAGGAUCAUCCGAUACUUUGAUAAUAUCGAAAUGCCCGGUACAUGAGAACGAGCAUCCGCAUCCGUGUAUCGCGUUACACACAUUGGAUCAAAAUAUCAAAGGUACGUUUCUGUACGUGAAGUAUACCAAGAAUACGUCUGAGAAACGAUCUUAAUGAUUGUAGUCAAUUUUUCUUCUCUGACUGGGUCAGUGGCUUUCAAUGUAGGAGGCAAAAAGUGAAUAUAUGUUUUGUUCGUAAGAAACAUUUAAGAGCGAAGGUGCAUUUAUAUCUUCUGAAAACGAAAAAAAAGCUAAUAGUCGUUUAAUUCUCGAGUUUCUUUUUCUAUAAGAAUAUAAUUAAUGUGUUUGUAAAUGGGGUUGUAUGUAGCAACUGAGUAACAUUUAUCUGUAAAGAUUCAGGUUGAAUUGUUGCAACUCACUUAACUUAUUCUACCCCUUUUCAAAUUAUAGUUUUCUCCCUAAUGUGCACGUAAUGAAAAAAAAAAAAAAAAUAUAAUUUGAAUUUUUUGAAAUUCAA